CUUUUUUGAAUCGAUUCUUACGAGAGUUGACUUUAAUAAAGUAUAAACCUGACCCACAGCAUUAGAUUCUUUGAAUUGGCUUGGAGGUUUGAUUCUCCAAGUUCUUGAGUUGGUAACUCUAAAGGUCAGAAGGCUGAUGAUGGACAGAGAGCAGACAACUUGGAAUAUCAUUAUAUUGACAUCAUUCUAAUAUAACACAAGGUAAGGGUAUGGGCAUGUGUGUAUAUAUAUAGUUAUAUAUUUAUGUUAGUACGUGUACUUCUUGCAUUGAUUCAAGUUAAGCUUUAGUUGAUGCCUGAUGUUUUCACUGCAUUCCUUGCAAAACUUUGAAACAUUUCUAUGGUUCCUGAAUAUUCAAAUUCUUUUUGUUUAUUUUUCCAGACAAUUUUAAUGAAAUUUGUAUCAACUAAAUGACACCAUUUUCUUAAGAAAAAAAAGGAAAGUGCUUCCUUGAUUUUGGCAAAUGUUUGGGGUUAGGCUUGGUCCUUUGAUUUAAAAAAUAUUACACAUUUAGUCUUUUUUUUUUAAGUUUUGAGAUUAAUUUUCAAAUUUACAGUAUCGUUUCAAUUUGAUCGAUUUGACUCCAUGAUUUACGUUUUAACUUUGGUUAUUUUAUUUGUUUAAUUUUUCAUUACAUUUUAUAACCUUGGUUAUUUUAUUUUUUAACCUUGUUUAUUUUAUUUAUUAUUAUUUUCACUUUUAAUCAUUACUAUUAGUGUCUAUUAAUUAUUUAAAAAUAAUUACGAAGUAAGAUUUAUCAUUUAUUAUUUAAGUAGUGAAACAAAAUUAAUAAACAGCAGCUAAAGACAAAAGUGAGUGAAAAUUUGAGGUUUUAAAGUGAAUCAAAAGAAAAGAUAUUUUCUCCUUAUUUAAAAAAUGUAAAGGAGUGAUUUUAAAAAGGGAAUGAAUUUGGAAUAAUUUGGAAUGGGGAACCAAUAAAAAUGCACACAAUAUUUGGUAUUAGGCAAGAGUAAAUUGAUUCAUUUCCGUAUAGAAAAACAGAAUAGAUUCAUCUCUCCUAAAUUCCAUGAUUUAUUUUGUAAGUAUUGUUAAUGAUUUUCAAUUAAUUAAUUUUCUCAAUUCAAUUUUUAUAUAAACUGUGAUUUUGAUUCAUCAUUCUGGGCUUACUGUCGAGGCGGACUACACAUUUGGGCCCUUAGGGAGGCCCAACGAAUCAAGCACACGUGGCGAAGAAGAAGGGUGGCUGAGAAUGGAACCGACGUGGCGGAAAACAUAUUCUUUGAGAAUCCUCUUUUAGAAGAAUAUUUUGGGGGAAGAAAAGGAAAGGAAGAUGGGAGGAAAGGAAUAAAGAGAGGGGUUUAUGAAAAGGAAAUUAUUAUUAUAAUUAUUGUUUGUGAGAAGAUUAUGGAGAAUUAUUUAUAAUAUUUAUUUGGAAGAAGGAUUACGAUAAAAAGAUUGUAUUUUUUUUUUCAUUUGUGUAAAAAAAGUGUACCAAAAUAAUUGUGAAAAUAAAAAUGAAAUUCUUGUUUUUUCUUUUUUUAUGAAUUCAAUAUAAAAUGUAAAAUGUGAACAUUUUUUGCAUUUGUGUAGAAUUUUGUUGUUGUUCCUAUCACAAGUUCAUUUUCUUUAGUUAUACCCUAAUUCAAAUACACCCAAAUUUUACAUUAAUUCUUUUUGUUCAUUUUGUAUAAAUAUUUUUUGUUAGCAACUACAAAAGUGAAAUUUUUUACAUUAAAUCAAAUACACAGAAUAAAUUAUAUUAUUUUUUUUCUUCAUGUAAAAUAUGUUUUUGAAAUUAUUACAGUAAAUUCAAUUCAUAGAGAAAUUGUAUUAUUUAUUUUUUUUCAUUUGUAGUUCAAUUUGUUAAUUCCAAAAAUAUAUGUUUUUUUCUUGUUUUGUUGCAUUUUCAGAGAUUCAGUAAAGAAAUAAUUGGAAAGGAUUAUAAUAAUAAUAAAAAGUUAAUUAUUUAAGACAAAAACUUACAAAUUUUUGUUAUUUAUUUUGUUGGAAAGAAGAUUCAAUGAAGUGUUGUGUUGAUUAUGGAUUAAGGGUCCGUUUUGAUUGAAUUAAAAACAUAAUGUUUUUCAAUAAUACAUUUCAUUUUAAAUACUUUUUCGAAAAUGAGUUUAAAAUUUAAACAUUUAAUGUUUGGUUAGAUUUUUUUAUAAUUGUUUAUAUAUGAUUUUGGUUUUUAAAGAUUUCUUUAAAAUACAUUAUUUUAUAAAUGAAUUUUUAAAAAAUACAUUAUUUUAAUUUGCCAAACACUACCAUUUUUUUCAAAAUAGUUUUUUUGGCAAAAUUAAUCACUUUAGAAUCUCAACCAAACACACCCUAUAUAUCUCUUAUUCUAAGCGAAUCUCCACACCAAUGAGAAGAAUAUCUAAAAUAAUAAGAUCACGACACAAUUGUACAUUUUAUUUAGAAAUAUGAUCAAUCAUCAAUGAGAAAUGAGAACUUGUUAAUCAUAAAUUGACUUAAAAGUUUAAGUUAACAUAUUCGUAAAUUGAAUGUUAUAUAUCAUUUAACAAUUUUAUUAAGUUAAACUUUGAAAUUUUAACGAUCUAAUAGAUCAUACUAAAAUUGAAAGUGAAGGAAGAAAAAGACUAUAAAGUUCGAAAGAGAUUAAAGUUCAAUAUGAAAUUUGAUAGAACUAAGUCAUGCACAGCGGAAAAAGAAUCGAAUUUCUACCCUAAUUGCCACAAUUAACAUGUAACCAUAAACUAAUCAAAUUAGGGUUUUAAGAAGUAUUACCUUUGAAGCUUUCAAAAGGUUUGAUGUCUUCUUACCAAUUCUACCCGAGACCACCACUAGUACUCAACUGCUAUCCUCUAGACAAAGAACCGGGUUGUGGGACCCAAUUUUGGUGUAGAAAGUAGUGGAGAUAAAAUGAGAUUGGAAGCUUUUUUUUUUUUCUUUUGUUGAGAUUAUGAAAAUGAUAAAAGAGGCAAAAGUCCUUCAACAUUUGAAAACAUCUCUAUUUAUAGCCUAAUUACAUGCAAAAAUGCAUGCAAUUCAAUUGCCAAAUCUCAACACCUAAUAUUCCACUAACAAUUAGUGGAACUUAGUGGGCUAGGUGUCUAUAUCUCAU
rnacentral:lncRNA from 1 species